GCUGCCCUGGUGCAGGAUUACAGAUGAAGGCUGUGCUGUUCUGUUUGAUGCUCUGAAAUCAAACCCCCCAUCACAGCUGAAAGAGCUGAACCUGAGCGGCAAUAAACCAAGCGAUUCAGCAGUGGAGGCACUCUGUAAACUACUGAUGGACAAAGACUGUAAGCUGGAGAGACUAGAACUGGAAUACUGCAGUAUUACAGAUAAAGGCUGUGCUGAUCUGAUUAACGCUGUGAAUCCCUCACUCCGGAAAUCUCUCAGGCUGAACCUGAACAACAAUAAAGCAGGAGAUUUAGCAGAAGAAGCUCUUAGGUCUACUGAAAGAUCCGCACUGUAAACUGGAGAAACCAGAGAUCUGAACACUCAGACGCCAAACCUGAAGAGAUUCUCAGAGAUCUGAGGACCCUCUGUGUGUGAUGGUCAUCUGUGUGUUUGUGUCUUUAUAGUUUAAAUGUGUGAACAGAUGCAGGUCUGACUGCUUACCCUGCUUACUGUGUGACAUCACUUUCUGUGCAUAAGUGAUUUGUACCUUCUGUGACCUGUCAAUCAAACCCCUCAUAUUAUGUAAGGACCAACAUUGGGGGUGAUGAGGAUGAGAGAGAGAGAGAGAGAGAGUAAAUAAAAUCAAUUUGAAAAUAUCACUUGACAGAGUGAAGGUUUCGAUAUGUAUUUUCAGCUGAAAAUAAACAUAUAAAUAAAUAGUUACAUGAUUAAUUAAAUAAACAUAAACAGGGCAGCUGGAGUCAAAUCAGUUUAUGGGACAGUAAUAGCAGUUUAUUGAAGAACGAGGGAUGGGGAAGAACAAAUGAAAGGAAAAGGUGUAUUACAGUUACAGAUGGGUAAAAAGGAGCAAUGAUCUUGUUAAAAAACUAAAGGAGAAGUUUAUUGUUGGUCUAAUACUCAUAUUCAGCAGUUAGUCUGUUCACUCUGAGAUUUAGGUCACACUUUUGCAGAAUGGACUUCACUAAAUGUUGAUCCUAGUUACGGCCCUGACCACUGUCUCUGUUUACUUCCUAUAGUUUAACCUAAAGCUCAGUCUAACACCACAAACGAUGGGCUGUACAUACUGAACAUACUGCAUUUACACAGACUACUCUGCUGUGUUUCUGCUGCAGUUUGUAGUGCUGUAAACUAGAGGUGGGCAAUAUGGCAGAAAUAUCAUCACAAUAUUAAUAUACAAUACAUAUUUUGACACACAGUGCACUAGUAUUGUCACAUUAAAAACUGACAAAAAACUCUGGAUACAAUAAAUAAUAUUCAGUGUUUCCCACGGUGCACUGCUCUAAAUCCAGUUAAACAGGACUGAUUAAGCUCUCUUUAUGAUGAAACAUGCAGCUGGUCAGUGUUCUUUAAUUAGAGAGUUUAUUAUUAUAUACUCAGAAAGGAAAAUUGUGUAUUAUGAUAAACUUUAUCAUGACAAAUAUUGUCAUCUUGCCCACCUCUACAGUAAAAUAUGAUAUUGUUAGUGUAUCUUCUACAUUCUGCUGCACAGCUGAUGAUGAUGAAUGAGAGUGGUUCUGAUGGUGAACAGCAGUGCAGCAUGAAUGAGCUUUAGAUUCAACUGAGUGUCAGUCUGUAACCCAGAGCUCCAGCAGCAUCAGGCUUCAUUACACACUUCACCACUAGAGGGAGACAAACAGUAAGACAUUAUAAACCUUACUGCAGUGAAAGAACCCCUCUGUCCUUAUGCUCUCUAUGCUUAUGUUUAUAAAUGUGAAAACAAUGUAAAUAAUGCAUUGAAAUGUUUAUAUACUCUUGAUAUUAUUACAUAUUAUUUUACUUUUAUAUUUACUAACAUGAUUCUGAUGGUGAACAGCAGUGCAGUAUGAAUGAGCUUUAGAUUCAGCUGAGUGUCAGUCUGUAACCCAGAGCUCCAGCAGGAUCAGGCUUCAUUACACACUUCACCACUAGAGGGUGAUAAAAUCUUACUGCAGUGGAAGAACCGCCUCUGUCCUUAUGCUCUCUAUAUCCUUAUGUUUAUAAACGUAAAAACAAAAAGAAACACAAGUGUGUGUUGAAAUGUGAUUAUCCUCUUAUUGUAUUGUUACAUAUUUUACUUUUACAUUAUUAAUUUACUUUUAUAUUUACUAACAUGAUUCUGAUGGUGAACAGCAGUGCAGUAUGAAUGAGCUUUAGAUUCAGCUGAGUGUCGGUCUGUAACCCAGAGCUCCAGCAGGAUCAGGCUUCAUUACACACUUCACCACUAGGGGGAGACCAACAGUAAGACAUUAUAACACCUUACUGCAGUGGAAGAGCUGCCUCUGUCUGCCUCUGUCUGACUCUGUCCUUAUGCUCUCUAUCCUUGUGUAUAUACACGUAAAAACAAAAAGAAACAAAAAAACAAGCGUGUUGAAAUAUGAUUAACAUCUUAUUGUAUUGUUACAUAUUAUUUUACUUUUAGAUUUACUAACAUGAUUCUGAUGGUGAACAGCAGUGCAGCAUGAAUGAGCUUUAGAUUCAGCUGAGUGUCAGUAUUUAACCCAGAGCUCCAGCAGGAUCAGGCUUCAUUACACACUUCACCACUAGAGGCAGACAAACAGUAAGACAUUAUAAAACCUUACUGCAGUGGAGGAACUGCCUCAGUCUGACUCUGUCCUCAUGCUCUCUAUCAUGUUCAUAAAUGUAAAAAACAAAAGAAGUGUGUGUUGAAAUGUGAUCAGCCUCUGAUUGUAUUAUUACAUAUUAUUUUACUUUUAAUUUUUCUUUUAUAUUUACUAACUCCACAUUUAUGAUCUGUUACAUGUUUGAAGCCAAUAAAACGGAUGUUAAGAUGA